CCUUCGGGAGGCAGCAGUGAGGAAUAUUGGUCAAUGGCCGGAAGGCUGAACCAGCCAAGCCGCGUGAAGGACGAAGGUGCCAAGCAUUGUAAACUUCUUUUGUCAAGGGACAAAAUCAGGCUCGAGAGCCUGACCGAGGGUACUUGAAGAAAAAGCAUCGGCUAACUCCGUGCCAGCAGCCGCGGUAAUACGGAGGAUGCGAGCGUUAUCCGGAUUUAUUGGGUUUAAAGGGUGCGUAGGCGGACUGUUAAGUCAGCGGUAAAAGCCCGGGGCUCAACCCCGGCGAGCCGUUGAAACUGGGAGGCUUGAGUAUGUUUGAGGCAGGCGGAAUGCGUGGUGUAGCGGUGAAAUGCUUAGAUAUCACGCAGAACCCCGAUUGCGAAGGCAGCCUGCCAAGCCAUGACUGACGCUGAUGCACGAAAGCGUGGGGAUCAAACAGGAUUAGAUACCCUUGUAGUC
rnacentral:rRNA from 1 species